rnacentral:lncRNA from 1 species
CAAGCUCACUCCCUUUUGUCAUUCUGUCCCACACAUGAAGAGCUCUGAACAGGAAGAAGUUCUUUCGGACGUGAGGCUGGGAUCUGCCUCCCUAUGACUUCCCCACAGGCCCCUGGGUGCCACCUGCUUCCCCCACAGUGGACUAGCCCUGCAGAGACUCAGAUAGGGAGAUGAUCCUGAAUGUUCCUGGUGGACUCAGUGUAAUCACCACACCUAAUGUAAUCACAUGGCCCUUACGCGAGGGAUGCAGGAGGGUCAGAGUCAGAGGAGAAGGCAAUGUGAUGACAGAAGGGGAGCUUGGAGUGACGAGUUUUGAAGACAGAGGAAUGGUCCACAAGCCAAGGAAUACAGGUGGCCACUAGAAGCUGAAAAAACUCAAGAAUAAAUUUUCCCCUCGGAGCCUCCAGAGGGAACCACCCUCCCGACACCUCGACUUUGGCCCGGUGAAGCUGAUUUGAGAUUUCUGACCUCUAAAGUUGUAGGAGAACAAAUUCGUCUUGCUUGGGACCACUGAGUUCGUGGUAAUUUGUUGCAGCAGUAGGAAACUAAGACAGAUUUUGCUACUACAAGUUGGGUGUUACUAUAAAAAAUGUGUGAGAAUGUGAAAGUGACUUUGGAAUUGGGUCAUGAACAGAGGCUAGAAGAAGUUUGAGGAGCAUGAUAGAAAAAGCCUAGAUUGCCUUGAACAGCGUAUUGGGCAAAGCGUAGACAUUAAAGCUGCUGCUGGUAGGACUCAGAAGGAAUCGAGAAACAUUUUGUUACAAACUAGAGGUAAAGGGAUCCUUCUUAUAGAAUGUCAGAAAGCUUAGCUAAAUUUCUUCCUACAAUCAUGUGGGAAGCUAAACUUAUAAGUCAUAAACAUGGAUGUUUAGCUGAGGAUAUUUCUAAGCCAAGUGUUGAAGGUGCAGCCUGGUUUCCUCUUGAUGCUUUAAGUAAAAUGUGAGAGAAAAUAGAUAAAUUGAGGAAAAAAACUAUUAAGCAAAAAGGAACCAUGACUUGAUGAUUGGGGAAAUUUUUGGCCAAUGUAGAUUGAAAAAUAUGCUAAAAUUAGGAGGUUCACCAUCAGGAAAGCAUGCUAUGGAGAGAAAACCAAGAGUGUGGUAGUAUAUCCUUUUUCUAAUGCCUAAGAAGGAUCAGAAAGUCAGUAUAUUCAUUCACACAGAGGACUCUUUGAAGAGAUUAGGUUUGUGACUCAUGGAUUGCCCUCAACCAUCUCAGAAGCUAGGAAUAAAGGUAAGAUAAUAUAGGAAAGAUCUGUGGAGGAGCCUGUUGCCUAAUGGAGUGAAGUCCCAU